ensembl:sense_intronic Gm42700 predicted gene 42700
GAUUAGAAACAAAACCCUACCAGGACUUCAAUCAUAAAACAAAUUUUUUAAAACAUGAGAAGACCUGUAACUUGGGGAAAUUGAAAUAGUACUCUUCAACAUAAAUUAAGCCCACUAUAAAUAUUGACCCCCCCAGUCUUAAAAUAUUAGUGAACCUAAUUCAGUUAAAAUGAUAAUAUGUAAUGAAUAGGUGGGAUUUAUGCCAGCAAUAAAAAUAUAGUUUAACCUGUGAAUCAAUACAUGUACAUAAACAUCUCAGUUAAUACAGAGAAAAUAUUUCACAAAAUUUAAUAUUCUAUUAUGAUUUUAAAAACCAUACUCAUCAGAUUAGGAAUAUAAGGAAAGGAAACUACCUCAGUAUAAUAAAGAAUGUAUCUGAAAAGCCCACAUAACACCACAGUCAGCAGUAAGCUUUUUCAUAGAAGAGGCAACAUGUGAGGGAGUUUACUUGCUGCUAUACUGUUAACUCAGUACUUAGAAUUCUAGCCAGAAUAAUCAAGCAACAAAAAGAAGUACGAUGACUUUUGGGAGUGGUUCUCUGCAUCCACCUUGAGGUUUGGAGAACAUACUUAAGUCAUCAGGCUUGAGUGGGGAGUGCUUUUAUCCACUGAGCCUUCUCACUUGGCCUAGAUAACUUCCCCAAUUGAAAAGUUUUGUGCACCAGGUUUUGAUCAUAUUUACUCCUCUCUCUUACCUCUUAAGCAGAUUUAUCCUCACCUCCUUUCUCUGCUCACCCAAUUUUGUAUCUUUUUCCCCCCAUCAAGGUCAAUUUGUGCUGCACAAAUAUUCUUGGAUGUAUGGUAUUUCCCUGGAGUACUGUCAGCUUACCAGGGGUUACAUGCUAAGAAAAUGGUUCUCAACCUGUGGGCCAUGACCCAAAGAGGGGGGGGGGGGUCCGCACAUCAGAUAUCCUGCACAUCAUAGUUAUGGUUGGUAGUCACCACAAUAUGAUAAACUGUAUUAAAUGAUUGUAGCUUUAGAAAGAUUGAGUUAAACAAAGUAGAGAUUAGCUUUGAACAUAGAAAAUUUCUUAUUAAGUGAUUGGGGCAAAGAUAGAAUUCUAAUGUGCCGAGGAGAAAAUGAGAGGAGGUAGAAACUGAGGUAACAGACCUCUUUUCUUUGUAAAAAGGAAAAAUACAUUAUGUAACUUGCACACAAAAAAUGUAGAGAGAAUAUCAAGAAACUAAAGACAUUUUUUGAGAUAAUAAAAACAAAAGGGUAAGAGAAAAAAGGAUUGAUUUUUUUUUUUUAAUCUUUAUGGGAAAAAGCUAGAGUUUAUAGUAAUUUGUGAUGAGAAUUACCACUAAAGCCAUUUUCUUAGCAAUAUAUGUUUUGGAAUCCUAUAACAUACAUGUCUAUUAGUAGGAAGGAUUAUCUUGUCCUGCACCACUUUGUAGAAAGAUAGUGAAUCCCAGAUAAGUUAAAAGGCUUUUCUAAAUCAGACCGUAGACUAUAAUAAUUUCAGACUAAAGGGAAGUUCUUCCUGCCCCUUUGGUUGGUGCUGUUCUUAUGGUAUUAUUUACAAAAUGAUUUGCCUAUGAAUUGAAUUUUAUAUAGACAUUAUAUUUUAUAGGAGAGUUCAUUUGCACAUCCUGUUAGGCUUUGCUACGUAACAAAUUGUCUUAAAAUUCUGUGGCUUAAAAUAGCCAUCAUGUGCUGUUUGCCAUGGCUUUGUGAGUUGUCUGGGUUUAGCUGGAUCACUUGUGUGACAGUCAGUGACAGCUUGACUGGGAGGAGAAGCAGGAUGGCUCCACCCUUAUGUCUGGGAGCCUGGUGCUGUUUGUUGGCUGGAGCUCUCACUACUCAAGGGUCGAGACGACAUUCCUUGCAUAGUAACAAGAACAUUCUAGAAGGAUGGGAGAUGGAAAUAUAGACUUCAAAACUUGCACAGCAUGCUUACCACUGAAUUAAUAAAAGAAUUAAAAUAAUUAGGCUGAAGGGAGCAGGUCCACCUUUUAAUGAAAAGAGGUGUAUGUAUUUGUAACCAUGGAAUUUCCCACUUAAAUAGAAAAUUUUAAGAUGUAAUUUUAACUAUUCAACUUCCUAGCAACUUUCUACUUAAUAUAAAGCAAAAAGGCUGCUGAUUGUAGGAAUCUUAGUUCAGCAUAUGAGAAACAAAAUUUUUGAUAAUCAAAAUAAUUAUACUAAAAGAAGAAACUAUAUGUUGAAACAUUUGUAUCCUUUUUUUUUGUAUGCUCUAAAACAAAAAUGCUGUAUUCAGUAAAUCACUGCACAGAAUGUUGAUGUAGCUAUAAUUUUCUCAGCCUAUUAUUUUUAUCAUCAUCAUCAUCAUCUUUCUGGAUCAGUUUUUCAUGUGCAUGCUUGCUCUCUUGCUUUCUCACUCUCUCUUUUCUCUCUCUCUCUCUCUUAUACACUUAUACACACACACACACACACACACACACACACACAAUUAAAAGUUUUAAAAUAAAAUCUUU